AGAUUGAACGCUGGCGGCAGGCCUAACACAUGCAAGUCGAGCGGCAGCACGGGUACUUGUACCUGGUGGCGAGCGGCGGACGGGUGAGUAAUGCCUAGGAAUCUGCCUGGUAGUGGGGGAUAACGCUCGGAAACGGACGCUAAUACCGCAUACGUCCUACGGGAGAAAGCAGGGGACCUUCGGGCCUUGCGCUAUCAGAUGAGCCUAGGUCGGAUUAGCUAGUUGGUGAGGUAAUGGCUCACCAAGGCGACGAUCCGUAACUGGUCUGAGAGGAUGAUCAGUCACACUGGAACUGAGACGACGGUCCAGACCUCCGUACGGGGAGCAGCGAGGUGGGGAAUUAGUUGGACAAGUGGGACGAAAGCCUAGACUCCAGCCAU
rnacentral:rRNA from 1 species